rnacentral:rRNA from 1 species
AUUGAACGCUGGCGGCAGGCCUAACACAUGCAAGUCGAACGAGUGGCGGACGGGUGAGUAAUGUCUGGGAAACUGCCUGAUGGAGGGGGAUAACUACUGGAAACGGUAGCUAAUACCGCAUACCAUCGGAUGUGCCCAGAGGGGAUUAGCUAGUAGGUGGGGUAACGGCUCACCUAGGCGAAGAUCCCUAGAUGGUCUGAGAGGAAGACCAGCCAAUCUGUAACUGAGCCACGGUCCAGACUCCUACGGGAGGCAGCAGUGGGGAAGAUGGCACAAUGGGCGCAAGCCUGAUGCAGCCAUGCCGCGUGUAUGAAGAAGGCCUUCGGGUUGUAAAGUACUUUCAGCGGGGAGGCGUUACCCGCAGAAGAAGCACCGGCUAACUCCGUGCCAGCCGCCGCGGUAAUAC